AGGCCCAACUGUCGUCUCUGCCAGUUCGAGAAUUCCGCCAGUAACUUUCCUUCUCUCUUCUACCCCCUGCUCUGCCCUUUUCAUGCAGUGUCAGGGUUGACUCUGCUCCUAAGUAGGUGACUGAUCUCUUUGUUUCAGGGGCCACACUUUCUCCCUCUCCUCCUUCCUCACCCUACAGCUCUGCUCUGGAAGAAGCAAGUCCCUCUGUGUGAGCUCUUGGCAGCCUGCGCAAGCUUGGGAAGCCUCUCACUUUCAGCUUGUCCACGGGAAUUGAUGGACAAGAUGAGGAUUUUGAUCUCUAGGGUUGGUCCAUGCCAUCUUCUUUCCUUCCUUAGUCUCUGGUGAAAUAGAAUAACAAAAAUGCUUUGGGGAGCAGGCAGCACAGACCCCACUGAUUCUUUGCCUUCCUUAGGAAAUACGGUUUUAGCAGCAUAAGGCUUCUAGCCCAGGACUUCAGCUCGGAGGCCAGUGAAAAGCUGGCCUUCUCCCUUCCUCCCCUACAAUCCCUCUUUUUCCCCAUAGAAUGAGGGUCUCCUGCCAGAUCAAUGGAAGUAGCUGAUUUUUAUUGAGUACAAGAGCUAAUUGAACACUACUUGUGCUCCGGGGUUUUCAUUCCCAAAAUACAGGAGCCAAACACAGGCACAUCCAACUUCCAUUUCUUUUUGGGAGUUUGGCUUGGGAAGGAACCGGAGGAGACGACGGAAGAUGGAGGUGGACAGUGGACUGGACCUGCAGAAGUCUGGGCAGUUGGGGCUGGGGGGAGGGCCUGUGACUGGGUGACACCUUCGCUCUUUUGUCAGUUGAACCACCUUAACUGGUGGUGGGGGCAGGGAGGGGAGUGAGCAGGGAGGCCACUGCCAGAGCCUCUCCUCCUGCCCAGCUAAGCAUUAAGCCUUUAGGGGUGCUCAGUGCUUUCAGCUUUUUUGUUGAAACUCCCUCAGUCUGAAGGCAGGACCAGGCGGAGGAAAGAUAGGGAGGUCCCGUUCUGUGGGGCUCUGCACAGGAAGAGGACGGGAGACAGGAAGGAAGCAAACCGUCAAACUGAAAAGAAGAAGAAGAAAAAAAAAAAGGGGGGGGGGUGCUUCCCCUACCUCCUUCCUUAUGCUGUGGUGACAGAAGUUGGUCCACAGUGGCAAUUUCGUGGGUUCACAGUUGUGAACACCGGGCUUGGAGCUGUGGUCCAGGCGGAAGACGAAAUGGUGGGUCGAGCAUCUCACCAUCGCAACCCUAACCUGGACCCUCCUCUUCCAAGCCAGAAAGGUCAGACGAGGCAUGUUUUAGAAGAGGUCAUUUUAACUGCGGAAACGCCUCCAUUGGAUUGGCCUGUGAACAAGUAUGGAGGACAUUUCUUUUUAUUGAUGAUUGAUGCUGGAAGGCCCAGAUAACUGAAGUGCUGCCAAUCCUAGGCUGUUAGUGCUUCAAUUUUAAAAAUGCAGCCUGAACAAGACGUCAGGAGCACUCCGGACCUUCCUCCUGAGGAGGAGAAGAUGGACUCUUGAAUUCUUGACCAUUACCCUGAGGACAGGACUUUUCAUUGUGACGGCCACCGUGGUUAUCGCUGGCAGCCAUCUUUUCAUCAGAUUCAGCAAAAAUUAUUUAGGGAAUCUGAAGCUUUUUCCAUGUCAUUAUAACUCUUUGGACUAUUUCCAUAAAAACAGUGGCAUCUUCUAAUCUUAUUGUAAAUGACAAUUUGAGGUGUUAAAUGCUUCUUUUAUAUUGUAACCAUAGAGUAUCUUUCCUUACCUAUAAGUCCUCCAUUGUGAGGAGGAACAGUUGGACUCAUGGGCACUGCAUCACUGUCCAGGGGGCAUGUCUUCUCACUGGGACAGCUGUUGUCUUCAUGGUCUUUGUCCUUCAACUCAUCAAAGUCAGUUAAAUUGUUUAGGGACCCAGAGACCUCUCUAUGGGGGCAAGGCAUUGAGCUCUCACCCUGAAGCAAAGUCAUGUCUUCUCCAAAUAUUUUCUGACAGUUUUCAAUGAGAAAUUUUACAAGAGAAAACUAUGAAAAAAAAAAUGGGGCAAACAGAGGAUCUCGGUCAUUUCACAGAGUUGUAAAUCACAUUUUAUAUAUGAGUCAUGGAGGUUAAAAAUGUAUAAUUCAAAAUUCUGAGAAAAAGUCAGCAGUUACAAAAUAUAGGAGCUGGCUAAUCAUUUGAAAUUUGAAGCCUAUUGUGGGGUCGGAUGUUAAAAUGUGAUCAACACAGAACAAUAAAUGCUAUAUAAGAGAAUGCUUUCCAGG